rnacentral:ncRNA from 1 species
CUUGUGGACUGUUAUACCAAACGAGAGUAGUUAUUGAUAUAAUGAAAUCGGACAGGUUGAAGCAAGAA